rnacentral:rRNA from 1 species
UACGUAGGGGGGCAAGCGUUGUCCGGAAUCACUGGGCGUAAAGGGCGCGUAGGCGGCUUGGGAAGUCUGUGGUGAAAGCUCGUGGCUCAACUGCGAGUCGGCCAUAGAUACUCCUAAGCUCGAGUCGACUAGAGGCAGAUGGAAUUCCGGGUGUAGCGGUGGAAUGCGUAGAGAUCCGGAAGAACACCGGUGGCGAAGGCGGUCUGCUGGGGUCGAACUGACGCUGAGGCGCGACAGCGUGGGGAGCAAACAGG